CCAUCUCUUGUUGAAGUAGAAACUUUUUUUUCCUUAUCGUAUAAGCUUGAAGUACUAUCCCUUAAACCAUAAUGACGCCCAUCAAUUCCACUUGCCUCAGUAACAACACCCCAAGUGAAAUCAGUAUCUCUAAAAAAAAUUGAUUUAUCUUUAGCAUUCUCAAUUUUAGUUAGCCAUUUAUUGGCAUCAUCAAUAUUGCCCAAGCU
rnacentral:lncRNA from 1 species